rnacentral:rRNA from 2 species
UGGGGGAUAUUGCGCAAUGGGGGCAACCCUGACGCAGCAACGCCGCGUGAAGGAUGAAGGUUUUCGGAUUGUAAACUUCUUUUAUUAAGGACGAAACUUGACGGUACUUAAUGAAUAAGCUCCGGCUAACUACGUGCCAGCAGCCGCGGUAAUACGUAGGGAGCAAGCGUUGUCCGGAUUUACUGGGUGUAAAGGGUGCGUAGGCGGCUUUGCAAGUCAGAUGUGAAAUCUAUGGGCUCAACCCAUAAACUGCAUUUGAAACUGUAGAGCUUGAGUGAAGUAGAGGCAGGCGGAAUUCCCCGUGUAGCGGUGAAAUGCGUAGAGAUGGGGAGGAACACCAGUGGCGAAGGCGGCCUGCUGGGCUUUAACUGACGCUGAGGCACGAAAGCGUGGGUAGCAAACAGGAUUAGAUACCCUGGUAGUCCACGCUGUAAACGAUGAUUACUAGGUGUGGGGGGUCUGACCCCUUCCGUGCCAGAGUUAACACAAUAAGUAAUCCACCUGGGGAGUACGGCCGCAAGGUUGAAACUCAAAGGAAUUGACGGGGGCCCGCACAAGCAGUGGAGUAUGUGGUUUAAUUCGAAGCAACGCGAAGAACCUUACCAGGUCUUGACAUCCAACUAACGAAGUAGAGAUACAUUAGGUGCCCUUCGGGGAAAGUUGAGACAGGUGGUGCAUGGUUGUCGUCAGCUCGUGUCGUGAGAUGUUGGGUUAAGUCCCGCAACGAGCGCAACCCUUGCUAUUAGUUGCUACGCAAGAGCACUCUAAUAGGACUGCCGUUGACAAAACGGAGGAAGGUGGGGACGACGUCAAAUCAUCAUGCCCCUUAUGACCUGGGCUACACACGUACUACAAUGGAUGUUAACAGAGGGAAGCAAGACAGCGAUGUGGAGCAAACCCCUAAAAACAUUCUCAGUUCAGAUUGCAGGCUGCAACCCGCCUGCAUGAAGAUGGAAUUGCUAGUAAUCGCGGAUCAGCAUGCCGCGGUGAAUACGUUCCC